rnacentral:rRNA from 1 species
UGGGGAAUAUUGCACAAUGGGCGCAAGCCUGAUGCAGCCAUGCCGCGUGUGUGAAGAAGGCCUUCGGGUUGUAAAGCACUUUCAGCGGGGAGGAAGGCGAUAAGGUUAAUAACCUUGUCGAUUGACGUUACCCGCAGAAGAAGCACCGGCUAACUCCGUGCCAGCAGCCGCGGUAAUACGGAGGGUGCAAGCGUUAAUCGGAAUUACUGGGCGUAAAGCGCUCGCAGGCGGUCUGUCAAGUCGGAUGUGAAAUCCCCGGGCUCAACCUGGGAACUGCAUUCGAAACUGGCAGGCUAGAGUCUUGUAGAGGGGGGUAGAAUUCCAGGUGUAGCGGUGAAAUGCGUAGAGAUCUGGAGGAAUACCGGUGGCGAAGGCGGCCCCCUGGACAAAGACUGACGCUCAGGUGCGAAAGCGUGGGGAGCAAACAGG